UGUUGUUUUCUCGAAAAUCAAUUAAAAAAGGCAGGAUUUUGUGUUGUAUUGACUUUAUCAGCUUUCUGCACUCUUUUCUUGUCUUUUUUAAUGCACUUUUCGUUUAACAAGUCAACAUCAAUUUCUUUUGUUGUAAAAGGGUCAUUGGAAGGUGGCUUUCUUUUCGGAGAAAGUGUUUAUAGCCUUUGGCCUCUGCAAUCGGAGAGAUUGAGGUCUGCAGCGUAGAUCCUUCGGAGUUAGAUACAUUUGUGCUAAGUUAUAGCCUUUCAUAGACAACUUGUUGACUAUGAUCAGUCAUGUAGCUUACUCGCUUAUGCUAUUUUACCUAC
rnacentral:rRNA from 1 species